rnacentral:lncRNA from 1 species
AUGGUCGCCGCCCCACACUCUCUUGCUGGUUGGCGGCUAGGAGGGCUAGAGCGGCUGGUGGGAGGUGCAGUCUGGCUUCCGGUAUCAAGGGCAGGACUUCCGGGGCGGGCGGCCCAGGCGGAGGGAGGAGUGUCUGACAGUUGGCGCGACCCGGAGGGCGGGCGGGCGCCUCGUGGGGGUGCGGGCCCCAGAGUGCCAGUGAAAACCGAUAAUCUCAGGCUCCUAUGUUCGUCGUGUGGAUCCUGAUGAAUGUCUUUGGCAUACCAACAGCUCGGUGGAUCGGGAUUGUAGCUGAGAGUUCUAACAACAUAGAGGAGGGAAGCCCAAAGGAAGCAAAACAACAAACAGUCAAGAAGAUUGUUUGCCUCUUUCCUGAGUCCUGAAAUAGCGAUUUAAAAUAAUGACUGAUGCAUGUUCCUCAAUUUAAAAGGGGGCAUUUUGCAUUGUUAUCCUAGCCAGGAGAAGGGAACCUUAACUUGAAAUACAAUAGAAAUAGAACAUUCCUCUUCAUUUGUGGGCAGUAAAUGAAAGAUACUUGAAAAGUUGUUUUGUUUGUGUGUUUGUUUGUUUGUUUACUUAUUUAUUAUUUUUGAGGCUGGGUCUCUGUUUGUAGCUCUUUCUGUCGUGGAACUCACUACAUAGACCAGGUUGGCUUUGAACUCACAGAUAACUGCCUGCCUCUGCCCCUCUACCCAGUGCUGGGAUUAAAAGCCUCUGCUAUCAUGCCAGGCUGGCUAAAUAGUCUUAUAUACUUGGUUUCCACUUCACAUCUGCAUGCAACUGACAUUAGGUCUACAACUGUCCCACUCUGUCACUAGUUUAGUUCAGAUUUAAUGAAUACCUGUCAGACGUAGUUGUAGGAACUUUGAGUUUGCUGUUUUAACCCCUCUAAUAUAUAUUUUAAAAAAUUUUAAAUGACAUGUUUUAUUACACUGUAUGUAAAACCAGAGGAUAGCUUGGCCUGGUGGCCUUUACCUACUUAGCCUACUUAUCGAUCUGCCCUUCCCCACCUGCCCCCCCCCCCCCCC